rnacentral:rRNA from 1 species
AGGACUAACGCUGGCGGCGUGGCUAAGACAUGCAAGUCGCACGGGGUAGCAAUACCCAGUGGCGAACGGGAGAGUAAUGAAUCGCUAAUGUACCCCGGACUCUGGGAUAGCUACCCGAAAGGGUAGGUAAUACCAGAUGACAUAACCCUGUCGCAUGACAGGGUUCUACAAAGGUCCGCCGGUCCGGGAGCAGGCGAUUUCGUAUCAGCUUAGGUUGGUGGGUAACCGCCCACGAAGGCGACGACGCGUAGCCGGACUGAGGAGGUUGGCCGGCCUCAGUUGGGACGUGAGACACUCGCCCAGACUCCGUACGGGGGGCUGCAGUAACGAAUCUUCCGCAAUCGACAACGAAAGGUGUAGACGGAGCGACGCCGGCGUGG